rnacentral:rRNA from 1 species
GACGAACGCUGGCGGUGUGCUUCACACAUGCAAGUCGAACGGGGUAGCAAUAUCCAGUGGCGGACGGGUGAGUAACACGUGGGAAUCUGCCUUUAGAUGGGGGAUAGCAGACCGAAAGGUCUAUUAAUACCGCAUAUGCAUACAUCUCGACAGGGGUGUAUGUGAAAGGAGCAAUCCGUCUUUAGAUGAGCCCGCGGCCGAUUAGCUAGUUGGUAGGUAANGGCCUACCAAGGCUACGAUCGGUAGCUGGUCUGAGAGGAUGAUCAGCC